CUCAGCCGCAUCCCAACAUACCUCCACGACAAGUCUCUCCACCUUGCCACACACAUCUGCCCUUGGUGCUACCUCCACGACAAGUCUCUCCACCAAGCCGCAUACAUCUGCCCUUGGUGAAGCACCAUCAUCGUCCAUGUCUGCUCCACCAUCACCGGUGCCCCAUGCGGGUCAAUCUCCAACCAGAUCCGGUACUAUUGUCCAUGCUAUCGACACGGAAAACAUCAACAAGGUAGCAAAGGAUGAGGAUAUAAAUAAUAUGCAGAUUGAAGAGGAGAUAAAGAAAGACGAGGAUACAAACACUGAGUCGGCAGAGGUGAUACAAGAAGAAUCUACAAUGGAGGAUACAGAGAAUAUGCAGAUUGAAGAGGUGAUAACCGUACAAGAGGAUACAGAUCCCAAGUCCACAAAGGCUACACAAGAGUCCAUUACGAAGGGUCCACAAAACAUGCUUUUUGAUGCUGUCAUAACCAAGGCUGGAGGUACAAUCCCCGAAUCGACAGAGGCAAGUUUUCUUUCCACAUGUCAUUACUAUUCAAUUAAAAUGCCACAGGUCAGUUUGUAAUAUAUUAGUACAAUAUCAUAUAAAAAGAUAUUCUCUCUAUUACAAUAUUGUACUACCACGUGUUUCAGCUACCGAGCGAUGACGAAUCAAGUGAAAUACUGAACAAUAAUGAAGUGGAGGAAAGUAAUUGCAUGAAGAGCUCAGAAUAUACACCUAUUCUUGAUGAAAACAUAGCAAACAGAGAGGCCAAAUAUUCUGAACAUACACAGAAAUUAACCCACAAUGAAACAAGUCAACAAAUGGUGGUAAAUGAGGACAAGGAAUUGGCACAAACACCCGGCACGGAAGGUCUUCAAACUAUAGAGGACAAGCUAACAAUGCUCGUGCAUAUAAAGAAACAUAUACGACGGCAUAACAAGCCUAAGAUAGCACGAGACUAUGUUGUUUCUCCACAAGGCACAGAACAAAACCUUCAAUGUCCUUGUACUGCUACAUUAUUGUUUUUGUGUUCAUUAUCAUUAAAUGUUAUCAUGGCCAUCAUGACAGAUUAUGCCUGCACUGGCGAUGAUUGGUCCGUUAUACAAAAUAUCAGAUCCGAAACCAGCAAAGAAAGAAAUUUAGUGAGCAUCGGCGACACAUUUCUGAAAAAAAGACAUUUACUAUCUCUUCUAACUCCCGGAGAAUGGGUUGGCGACGAAGUAAUAAAUACGUACAUAAAUUGCAUGACUGCUACGGAGCAUCUACAAGUAAGGUCAGGUGGAACCGUGUUCUUAGAGAAUGCAUGCAUCUCAAAGAUGAUAAAGAUCGGUAGCUAUCUGCCCUCAGAUGACACGGAUGCUGCACCAGCAUGGGUAUUACACAGAGCCAAAGCGUAUUUGGAAAAUGAUAUGAUACACAUUCCAAUAAACAUGGACGACGUUCACUAGUACCUAUGUGUUAUAAAUGCCAAAAAACAAUGUGUUCAAGUGCUCGACUCGCUAGGCCCAUACAUGAACCGCAAGGACCUCAUUGAUACGAAGGACUAGAGGAUUUAUUCAAAUAUGCAUCCAAGCACAUGGAAUUAAAAUCCGACAAGUGGACUAAUCUAGAUGUUACAACAUGGAAAAGAGAAGAAUAUAUUAAUAGCGGUCUUCAAACGGAUGGGUCAUCUUGUGGUCUCUGGAUGUUAAAUUAUAUGGAGUACUUCACGGAAGAUAGUUUGUCCGACACUCUCGAACAGGUAUAUCUUGCAUCGUAUCAUGAUACUAAUUAUUUCAUGUUGUGUCAUUAUUUGAAAACUAAGUCUUAUUAUUACUACUUCACU